UUGAGGAAGAUAAUGACGGUACUCAACAAGGAAGUGACGGCUAACUACGUGCCAGCAGCCGCGGUAAAACGUAGGUCACAAGCGUUGUCCGGAAUUACUGGGUGUAAAGGGAGCGCAGGCGGGAGAACAAGUUGGAAGUGAAAUCCAUGGGCUCAACCCAUGAACUGCUUUCAAAACUGUUUUUCUUGAGUAGUGCAGAGGUAGGCGGAAUUCCCGGUGUAGCGGUGGAAUGCGUAGAUAUCGGGAGGAACACCAGUGGCGAAGGCGGCCUACUGGGCACCAACUGACGCUGAGGCUCGAAAGUGUGGGUAGCAAACAGGAUUAGAUACCCUGGUAGUCCACACCGUAAACGAUGAUUACUAGGUGUUGGAGGAUUGACCCCUUCAGUGCCGCAGUUAACACAAUAAGUAAUCCACCUGGGGAGUACGACCGCAAGGUUGAAACUCAAAGGAAUUGACGGGGGCCCGCACAAGCAGUGGAGUAUGUGGUUUAAUUCGACGCAACGCGAAGAACCUUACCAAGUCUUGACAUCCUGCGACGCACAUAGAAAUAUGUGUUUCCUUCGGGACGCAGAGACAGGUGGUGCAUGGUUGUCGUCAGCUCGUGUCGUGAGAUGUUGGGUUAAGUCCCGCAACGAGCGCAACCCUUAUGGUCAGUUACUACGCAAGAGGACUCUGGCCGGA
rnacentral:rRNA from 1 species